ensembl:lncRNA
AUUGAAGGAGGCCAUGUGUCUUUCCUUUUUUUUUGAAGCAGUAAAUCCCUUAUUUAUCAGUAAGCAGGUUUUUUUUUAUUCUUUAUAUCAUUUAUGGGAUAAAACAUAUGCUUGUCUAAAAAUACUGCUUUUUGUGGGUUUGUGUAUCAGUCACCGAUCAAUGAAUAUUAUAGAAAGAAAACAAAAAAGACAGAACAUUAAAGUGCUUUGCAUGGAUUUUCCUGGAAGUUAGGUUAGCUUCACUGUCAGGAUUACAUAUGGAAAUUAUUCACUUAUUUUAAAUAGACAACUUGGUGACCACAUAUUUGUCCCUCCGACAACUUGUCAUCUUCACACUGUCCUUUCAAUUUACCUUAAGGAAUGUUUUGAACGUCAUAAAAUGGAAGGAAAAAAUAAUAACUGAUUAUAUUUGCCUUUUAAAAAUUAUUGCAACACCAGGAAAUAGUAGCCAAAGAUAUUUGAAGAUAAUGUCUCUGGGCUUGAUUGUGGUUAUUCUAGAAACCCAGUCUUGAAAGUCAUUGCUAAGUUGGGCAUUCUCCACAAAGGUAGUCCAACUUCCUUGCCCCAUCACACACCUUUGAAUACAGAACCCCUAAACUAAAACUGUAGCGAUAGAUAUCAGAGUGUUUGAAAAUGCCCUCUAGAACAAGACAGGUCUUAGAAAUGCAUAUAAAAGUCACACAAUAAAUUCUGUUCUUUAUCUUGAUUUGAAUUUGAGAGUGAUUCUCUGUAUAUACAUAUGUGAAAUAUAAUCCCAACUUUGCACACAGUGAAGCAACACUCCUUUCUUGCAGCUAGAGGUGUCAUGGAUAAGAUUUUUGUCCCCCAUUCAUCAUUUUCUAAAGCUAUCGUCGGGCCAUUUCUGCAAGCUAUGUAUUACCCCAGCUGGGCUAUGGCAAAUAAGCUCUCCAUGAAACCACAAAGGAAGUGAUGCUUGGCAUCAAUGUUGGUCCAGUAUGUUUGUAAUGUGAAUUCCAGUAUUUGUUUAGUAUUUCCAAUUGUCUUCUGCUAGCAAUAUGCACAGUAAUGUAUCAGGCUUGUGAUAUUUGGAUAAGGAAAAAAAAAAAGAGUUCUUGUUAAGUGAAUAACUUUAGCUUUUACAGAGGAUUAUGUUCAAAAGCAAUUUAAUACACCUUAAAUAAUAUCUUAUUUCUACAUGGAAAGAAGUUAUAGAAUCUUCAUAGAGUUCUAUGAGAAUCAAAUAUACUUGCUAUCUAUAAAAAAGAGAAAAAAUAGAAAAAAAUGAGAAAAAAAUAAGUUAAAAAAAACACUUUCCUAGGCUUUUAUUCUUGACCUUCAAAGGCACGCAGGGUUUAAUGGUUUCUUGGGUUAUUAUUUUGCGAUUUUGUUUUUGAUUUUGCCUUAAGUAAUGAUAGAAGAUAUAUAUGGCUGGACACAUAUGUAUAAACUUUUCAGCAGCAUUUUUAAUAAUAAAAUAUCACAGUAUUUUCUAAUGCUUUGUGCAGAUAAUUAUGCGUCCGUUCUUUUUUGUAGGUGGCCUAUUUCAUUUGCUUCCUUCCUUCUUUGAAUGCCUUUUUA